rnacentral:rRNA from 1 species
UACAGAGGUCUCAAGCGUUUGUUUCGGGAUUCAUUGGGGCGUAAAGGGUGCGUAGGCGGCGCGGUAAGUCGGGUGUGAAAUUCUUGGAGCUUAACUCCGAAACUGCAUUCGAUACUGGCGUGCUUGAGGACUGGAGAGGAGACUGGGAAAUUUCAUGGUGUAGCAGUGAAAUGGCGUAGAGAUCAUGAGGAAGACCAGUUGGCGAA